AGUGAACGCUGGCGGUAGGCCUAACACAUGCAAGUCGAACGGCAGCACAGGAGAGCUUGCUCUCUAGGUGGCGAGUGGCGGACGGGUGAGGAAUACAUCGGAAUCUGCCCAGUCGUGGGGGAUAGCGUAGGGAAACUUACGCUAAUACCGCAUACGACCUUCGGGUGAAAGAGGGGGAUCGCAAGACCUCUCGCGAUUGGAUGAGCCGAUGUCGGAUUAGCUAGUUAGCGGGGUAAUGGCCCACCAAGGCGACGAUCCGUAGCUGGUCUGAGAGGAUGAUCAGCCACACUGGAACUGAGACACGGUCCAGACUCCUACGGGAGGCAGCAGUGGGGAAUAUUGGACAAUGGGCGCAAGCCUGAUCCAGCCAUACCGCGUGGGUGAAGAAGGCCUUCGGGUUGUAAAGCCCUUUUGUUGGGAAAGAAAUCUUUCAGGCUAAUACCCUGGGAGGAUGACGGUACCCAAAGAAUAAGCACCGGCUAACUUCGUG
rnacentral:rRNA from 1 species